ACGUCUUUCGUUCCUUUGUUUACUUGCUGCACAUUGUGAGAAUAGUUUGUCAUUUUCUCCUAUCACUUGAGCCAUUAAUGCUGUGCGUCCUUGCGGAAAAACCACAGCAACAGGAAUUAAAGUACUUUCAGAGUUCA